rnacentral:rRNA from 1 species
GAUGAACGCUGGCGGCGUGCCUAAUACAUGCAAGUCGAGCGAACGGACGAGAAGCUUGCUUUUCUGAUGUUAGCGGCGGACGGGUGAGUAACACGUGGAUAACCUACCUAUAAGACUGGGAUAACUUCGGGAAACCGGAGCUAAUACCGGAUAAUAUUUUGAACCGCAUGGUUCAAAAGUGAAAGACGGUCUUGCUGUCACUUAUAGAUGGAUCCGCGCUGCAUUAGCUAGUUGGUAAGGUAACGGCUUACCAAGGCAACGAUGCAUAGCCGACCUGAGAGGGUGAUCGGCCACACUGGAACUGAGACACGGUCCAGACUCCUACGGGAGGCAGCAGUAGGGAAUCUUCCGCAAUGGGCGAAAGCCUGACGGAGCAACGCCGCGUGAGUGAUGAAGGUCUUCGGAUCGUAAAACUCUGUUAUUAGGGAAGUACAUAUGUGUAAGUAACUGCGCACAUCUUGACGGUACCUAAUCAGAAAGCCACGGCUAACUACGUG